CGGGGGGGGGGUGAUUUCCCCGUGGGUGGGGGUAAUAGCGAAGGUGGGGGGAGAGUUCCCCCCCCAGGGAACAGUGAGGGGGAUAUGAGUCACACACACACACAGAGGGAACGGGGAGAGGGAUAUGAGUCACCCCCACCCCCACGGGGAAUAGCGACCAGGGCGGGGGAACACCCCAGGGACCGGCCCAGGCCCGCUCUCCGCUCGGCCCGGGCUCUCACUCACUGGCUGGCCGCCGCCGGGAUCAGGGCAGCUCGGGUCCUGGACUAGAUCAAAGCGCCUAAAAGAACUGUUAAAAUGCGUCAGCAGAAUGCACACGGACACUUAGAUCGCAGCAGUUUCAUUCUUCAAGAAAACUGAAGGAACAAGACUCAUUCAGUUCUAAUAAACCAACCAACUGAAAAUUCUCAUCGGUUCCUUAGCAGUUUCCUAGGUAUUUGCCAUAUUAUCUCAGCGAGAAAGCAAGAUUUCUAUGCUGUAUCCAGCCAGCAGCUUGAGUCUCUCAAGAGGCUGUUGACAAACUCAUUGCAAAGCGUUUCCUCACAAAUGGAUUCUGGGUUCUGAAUAAAAGCCCAGAUGCUGUUUAUGCUGUUU